GCAGUGGGGAAUAUUGGGCAAUGGGCGCAAGCCUGACCCAGCGACGCCGCGUGAGGGAAGACAGCCUUCGGGUUGUAAACCUCUGUUGCAGGGGAAGAAGGAAGUGACGGUACCCUGCGAGGAAGCUCCGGCUAACUACGUGCCAGCAGCCGCGGUAAUACGUAGGGAGCGAGCGUUGUCCGGAAUUACUGGGCGUAAAGGGCGCGUAGGCGGCGCUUCAAGUCGUCUGUCAAAAGCCGAGGCUCAACCUCGGUGCGCAGACGAAACUGGAGAGCUUGAGAAGCAGAGAGGCAAACAGAAUUCCUGGUGUAGCGGUGAAAUGCGUAGAUAUCAGGAAGAAUACCAGUGGCGAAGGCGGUUUGCUGGCUGCAUACUGACGCUGAAGCGCGAAAGCCAGGGGAGCAAACGGGAUUAGAUACCCU
rnacentral:rRNA from 1 species